UACGUAGGGUGCGAGCGUUGUCCGGAAUUAUUGGGCGUAAAGGGCUCGUAGGCGGUCUGUCGCGUCGGGAGUGAAAACUCAGGGCUUAACCCUGAGCCUGCUUCCGAUACGGGCAGACUAGAGGUAUGCAGGGGAGAACGGAAUUCCUGGUGUAGCGGUGAAAUGCGCAGAUAUCAGGAGGAACACCGGUGGCGAAGGCGGUUCUCUGGGCCUGUACUGACGCUGAGGAACGAAAGCGUGGGGAGCGAACAGG
rnacentral:rRNA from 1 species